GGUGUUACUCCCACGGCUAGACAAGUCUUUGAGGUCUGGUCCACGAAAUCGCUCCAAAAAGGAGUCGGGACGCUCGACCUCUCUGUGAAGCCUGUGAGAUGCCCAGUUCUGCAGCAUGACCAGGAAUUGACCCCCGAACCUGUGAAGGAACUUCUCCUGGACUCCGGAAACUGGCUUGUUCCAGUAGAAAUAAUUCCCUGCAUGUCAGAGGAGGUGUCCUCACCAAGAGAAUGUGCCCUUAACACCUGGUUCAGUUCAUCGUCAGAGGCUCGAACCGAGAGAUGUUGCCGGGACGGGUAGGACUGCUCUGUACAAAUCUUCGCCAUUGUCUUUUGUGUCUUUGGCUAUACAUCAAGUGCUUAAAACAACAAACCCGUAACAACAUCAACACAAAAACGCUCUGUCCUCCAAACUGUUUCAUCAUUAAAGAAAUGCAUUUGGAUAUGAAAUCAUUGCAAUCAUUAUCCUGACUUUUUUAACCAUUUAAGGACACACAGAAAAAUGUUCCUGUUCUUACAAUCAAAACUGGUUUAAUGCAAGGUUGAGGGGUUACGUCUUAAAAAAAUAACAGAGACGUGUUGAUUUGUGCAAAGCAAUUUUCACAUAUAUUUCCUGAAUAUAUAUGCAUAAAAUAUUUUGCUUAAUGCUUAUAUGGUAAACAUUAAACAUGAUCCAGCCACCCAUAUCAUGUAU